UUUUUUUUUUUUUUUUGCUCAGUUUCAACUUAAAAAAAAUCGUGUUAUUGUUUUCACUUAUUAUAGACGAGUAUCUAACCCUUUAAGCAGUUUUUAAUGAAUGUUUUACUGUUAUGAUUGUGCGAAGCCGGACCAAAUAAGUAUUUUUUUUUUCCGUUAAAAAUAGUCAAACGGAUUAUAUGUUCAUGAGAAGCCAAAACUCUUUCGGAACUGUAAGGUCUUAGUCGCACAGGAAAGCUAAUUUUAAACUCUUUUGUUUUAAAGAUAAAAUAAUACAGUAACUUUGUCUUGAAGAACGCGUUCCAAAUAUUGUUCUUAUAAAGUUAGUGUUUUUGUUACUGUUACUAUUUGUUUCACAUGUAAUUAUUGCACAUAUAUAUAUGUAUUUCAGAGAGUGUGUGUCUGUCUGUCUGUCCGUAUGUCUGUGUGUGGAAGCUCCACCUUUGAAAGGCACUGAUUGGUCAUGUAAAUAACAUUUCUCCAUCUCUCCUUCUCCUAUCUAUAUGCACUCAUCUACUGUAUGGAUAAUUAAAUCAUCAAUCAGGGGCGGGGGGGGAGGGGGAGGGCGGACUGUUUGAUGCCUUUGUUCAAAGCCAAUCGGCUUCCAGGGGACCGACGAGCACGGAGCACGAGAAAAGAUGUUCAACAUCUGGAAGCACACCGGUGGCAUUUUCAAAGGCAGGUGCAUUGCUUACCGCAACUUUCUAGCACGGCAUUAUUAUCAGGAGUGGGAUUCGAACUGAGGACCUGCAGACUAGGAGGGGAAAGUGCCAACCACUACGCCGCCUGCUGGGGAGUUUGAACAAAGCUGGAUGUUGCGGGUCCUUGGACUGCUCUGGACACAUUACUCAUUCACUUUGGGUCCGCUGCUCAGUCGUCCCAUGAGCGUUUCAUAAUGCACUAAAAAAGAUAAAACAGCAUAUUUCACAAGUCAGGAAGAUUAAUUUACAGUUGUAUGCACAAACAGCAAUACAAAUGCAAAUGCUUACAUUUUUAAUUAAAGUCACCACCUCCGUGCUGCUGUGGAAGAAAACGAAUACAUAUUGAAAAACCCAGUAAAUACUUUUUUUUUUUUUUGUUUUUUUUUUUUUUUUUAACCAAAAAUAUUAUUGGGUUUCAUUUUUAUUCUAGGUGUAAAAUAAUAUAGAUGGCUGAACAAUAACACUGUGAAACUGUAAUGUAUUAUUAACAUUGCAACGGUGCAUGUGUACAAAUAAACCUAUGUCCACAUGAAGCA
rnacentral:lncRNA from 1 species